GACGAACGCUGGCGGCGUGCUUAACACAUGCAAGUCGAACGGAAAGGCCCUUCGGGGUCCUCGAGUGGCGAACGGGUGAGUAACACGUGGGUGAUCUGCCCUGCACUUUGGGAUAAGCCUGGGAAACUGGGUCUAAUACCGAAUAGGACCACGCGCUUCAUGGUGUGUGGUGGAAAGCUUUUGCGGUGUGGGAUGGGCCCGCGGCCUAUCAGCUUGUUGGUGGGGUAAUGGCCUACCAAGGCGACGACGGGUAGCCGGCCUGAGAGGGUGACCGGCCACACUGGGACUGAGAUACGGCCCAGACUCCUACGGGAGGCAGCAGUGGGGAAUAUUGCACAAUGGGCGCAAGCCUGAUGCAGCGACGCCGCGUGAGGGAUGACGGUCUUCGGGUUGUAAACCUCUUUCAAUAGGGACGAAGCGCAAGUGACGGUACCUAUAGAAGAAGCACCGGCCAACUACGUG
rnacentral:rRNA from 1 species